rnacentral:rRNA from 1 species
ACGAACGCUGGCGGCGUGCUUCACACAUGCAAGUCGAACGGAAAGGCCCUGCUUUUGUGGGGUGCUCGAGUGGCGAACGGGUGAGUAACACGUGAGUAACCUGCCCUUGACUUUGGGAUAACUUCAGGAAACUGGGGCUAAUACCGGAUAGGAGCUCCUGCUGCAUGGUGGGGGGUGGAAAGUUUCGGCGGUUGGGGAUGGACUCGCGGCUUAUCAGCUUGUUGGUGGGGUAGUGGCUUACCAAGGCUUUGACGGGUAGCCGGCCUGAGAGGGUGACCGGCCACAUUGGGACUGAGAUACGGCCCAGACUCCUACGGGAGGCAGCAGUGGGGAAUAUUGCACAAUGGGCGGAAGCCUGAUGCAGCAACGCCGCGUGCGGGAUGACGGCCUUCGGGUUGUAAACCGCUUUCGCCUGUGACGAAGCGUGAGUGACGGUAAUGGGUAAAGAAGCACCGGCUAACUACGUG